CGUAGGUGGCAAGCGUUGUCCGGAUUUAUUGGGUUUAAAGGGUGCGUAGGCGGCUUUGUAAGUCAGUGGUGAAAUAUGGCAGCUCAACUGUCAGGGUGCCAUUGAUACUGCGGAGCUUGAGUACAGAUGAGGUAGGCGGAAUUGACGGUGUAGCGGUGAAAUGCUUAGAUAUCGUCAAGAACACCGAUAGCGAAGGCAGCUUACUGGGCUGUAACUGACGCUGAGGCACGAAAGUGUGGGGAUCAAACAGGAUUAGAUACCCUGGUAGUCCACACUGUAAACGUUGAUGACUCGCUGUUGGCGAUACACGGCCAGCGGCAGAGAGAAAUCGUUAAAGCAUCCACCUGGGGAGUACGCCGGCAAACGGUG
rnacentral:rRNA from 1 species